GGACGGGACCCGCACAAGCGGUGGAUGAUGUGGAUUAAUUCGAUGCAACGCGAAAACCUUACCUACCCUUGACAUGUCUGGAACCUUGCUGAGAGGCGAGGGUGCCUUCGGGAGCCAGAACACAGGUGCUGCAUGGCUGUCGUCAGCUCGUGUUGUGAAAUGUUGGGUUAAGUCCCGCAACGAGCGCAACCCUUAUCCUUUGUUGCCAGCGGUCCGGCCGGGAACUCAAAGGAGACUGCCAGUGAUAAACUGGAGGAAGGUGGGAUGACGUCAAGUCAUCAUGGCCCUUACGACCAGGGCUACACACGUGCUACAAUGGCGCAUACAAAGAGAAGCGACCUCGCGAGAGCAAGCGGACCUCAUAAAGUGCGUCGUAGUCCGGAUUGGAGUCUGCAACUCGACUCCAUGAAGUCGGAAUCGCUAGUAAUCGUGGAUCAGAAUGCCACGGUGAAUACGUUCCCGGGCCUU
rnacentral:rRNA from 1 species